rnacentral:rRNA from 1 species
UGAGCAAUCUGCCCUUCACAUCGGAAUAACCAUUGGAAACGAUGGCUAAUACCGAAUAUGACUUCGGAUCGCAUGAUCUGAAGUGGAAAGCUCCGGCGGUGAAGGAUGAGCUCGCGGCCUAUCAGCUUGUUGGUGAGGCAAUAGCUCACCAAGGCGAUGACGGGUAGCUGGCCUGAGAGGGUGACCGGCCACACUGGGA